rnacentral:rRNA from 1 species
CAGUGGGGAAUAUUGCGCAAUGGGCGGAAGCCUGACGCAGCGACGCCGCGUGGGGGAUGACGGCCUUCGGGUUGUAAACCUCUUUCGGCCCCGACGAAGCGUAAGUGACGGUAGGGGUAGAAGAAGCACCGGCCAACUACGUGCCAGCAGCCGCGGUAACACGUAGGGUGCGAGCGUUGUCCGGAAUUAUUGGGCGUAAAGAGCUCGUAGGCGGUGUGUCGCGUCGGCCGUGAAAACCUGCAGCUUAACUGUGGGCUUGCGGUCGAUACGGGCAUCACUGGAGUUCGGCAGGGGAGACUGGAAUUCCUGGUGUAGCGGUGAAAUGCGCAGAUAUCAGGAGGAACACCGGUGGCGAAGGCGGGUCUCUGGGCCGAUACUGACGCUGAGGAGCGAAAGCGUGGGGAGCGAACAGGAUUAGA